rfam:Lupinus angustifolius cultivar Tanjil chromosome LG15, whole genome shotgun sequence.
AGGUGCGAUCUUACCAUCACUAAUGAACCUGAUCCUAUCAGAACUCCACAGCUAAGCGUGCUUGGGCGAGAGUAGUACUAGGAUGGGUGACCUCCUGAGAAGUCCUCAUGUUGCACCUA